CGCAUUGUGAACCAAAUGAUCCA
rnacentral:siRNA from 1 species